rnacentral:rRNA from 1 species
UACGUAGGGUGCAAGCGUUAAUCGGAAUUACUGGGCGUAAAGCGUACGCAGGCGGCUAUGUAAGACAGGUGUGAAAUCCCCGGGCCUAACCUGGGAACUGCAUUUGUGACUGCAUAGCUAGAGUCCGUCAGAGGGGGGUGGAAUUCCACGUGUAGCAGUGAAAUGCGUAGAGAUGUGGAGGAACACCGAUGGCGAAGGCGGCCCCCUGGGAUGAGACUGACGCUCAUGUACGAAAGCGUGGGGAGCAAACAGG